AUGAGGUGUCUGCAUUACUGAUGGCUACACGGCCAUCUCUGUCAAAGACUGAUCUCUGGGGACACUGAGAUGAUGGCAGGAUAAAGAGCAUCACAGGAAGAAGAACUUGAUCAACUCGUGUUUGUCAAGAUGUUCCUGUGAAAGCAUUUUUUGCAUGGGAUUAACAUUUGAGUUGAGUAGAUUGCCCGCCCGCCAGAAUGUGAGUGGGCUUCAUUCAAUCAACUGAAAGCCUUAAGGAAGAGACUGAGCUCACCUGAAAGAGGGAAUUGUGUCAUCAGCCUGCCUUCACCAUGGUCUAAAGGCCUACAAAGACGGAGGCAAGAGGGCUGGCAAACCUUGGACAGGAUCUCAGAAGAUGAAGUUCUUUUCCUGGCGUCUCUGGGCCAGGGUGUCAGGGAACGGG